AACGCACAUUGCACCCUCUGGUAUUCCAGAGGGUAUGCCUGUUCGAGCGUCAUUUCAACCUUCAAGCUUUGCUUGGUGUUGGGUGUCUGCCACCACCUUUCCUGUGCAGUGGCUCACCUCAAAAUCAUCGGCACCGAUGGCCUGGUCUGGAGCGCAGCAGAUUGUUGCUCUGGCAGCAGUAGCCAUCUGGCCCCCGGAAGCGCUAUAAAAUCGAACCUUGACCUCGGAUCAGGUAGGGAUACCCGCUGAACUUAA
rnacentral:misc_RNA from 1 species